AUUGAACGCUGGCGGCAGGCUUAACACAUGCAAGUCGAGCGGAGAUGAGGUGCUUGCACCUUAUCUUAGCGGCGGACGGGUGAGUAAUGCUUAGGAAUCUGCCUAUUAGUGGGGGACAACAUUCCGAAAGGAAUGCUAAUACCGCAUACGUCCUACGGGCGAAAGCAGGGGAUCUUCGGACCUUGCGCUAAUAGAUGAGCCUAAGUCGGAUUAGCUAGUUGGUGGGGUAAAGGCCUACCAAGGCGACGAUCUGUAGCGGGUCUGAGAGGAUGAUCCGCCACACUGGGACUGAGACACGGCCCAGACUCCUACGGGAGGCAGCAGUGGGGAAUAUUGGACAAUGGGGGGAACCCUGAUCCAGCCAUGCCGCGUGUGUGAAGAAGGCCUUAUGGUUGUAAGGCACUUUAAGCGAGGAGGAGGCUACUGAGACUAAUACUCUUGGAUAGUGGACGUUACUCGCAGAAUAAGCACCGGCUAACUCUGUGCCAGCCGCCGCCGUAAUAC
rnacentral:rRNA from 1 species